rnacentral:rRNA from 1 species
GAUGAACGCUGGCGGCGUGCCUAAUACAUGCAAGUCGUGCGGCAGCGAGCCCUUCGGGGUGUCGGCGAGCGGCGGACGGCUGAGUAACACGUAGGAACAUACCCCAAAGUGAGGGAUAACUGCUCGAAAGAGUAGCUAAUACCGCAUGUGGUCUAAGGAUUAAAGCUUCGGCGCUUUGGGAAUGGCCCGCGUUCGAUUAGCUAGAUGGUGAGGUAAAGGCUCACCAUGGCGACGAUCGAUAGCUGGUCUGAGAGGAUGAUCAGCCAGACUGGGACUGAGACACGGCCCAGACUCCUACGGGAGGCAGCAGUAGGGAAUUCUCCACAAUGGGCGAAAGCCUGAUGGAGCAACGCCGCGUGCAGGAUGAAUGCCUUAGGGUUGUAAACUGCUUUUAUAUGUGACGAUUAUGACGGUAGCAUAUGAAUAAGGAUCGGCUAACUCCGUGCCAGCCGCCGCAGUAA